CACGUAGUCAACCUAACUUAUGGACGGGGAUAACCUCGGGAAACUGAGAAUAAUACCCGAUAGGUCAUGAUGCCUGGAAUGGUUUAUGACUCAAAUAAUUUAUUGCCGUAGGAUGGGACUGCGAGCUAUCAGCUUGUUGGUGAGGUAAUGGCCCACCAAGGCUAUUACAGCUACGGGCUCUGAGAGGAGUAGCCCGGAGAUGGGUACUGAGACAAGGACCCAGGCCCUAUGGGGCGCAGCAGGCGAGAAAACUUUGCAAUGCGCGAAAGCUCGACAAGGUUAAUCUGAGUGGUUCCUGCUAAAGGAACCUUUUGUUAGUCGUAGAACCACUGAUGAAUAAGGGGUGGGCAAGUUCUGGUGUCAGCCGCCGCGGUAAAACCAGCACCUCAAGUGGUCAGGAUGAUUAUUGGGCCUAAAGCAUCCGUAGCCUGUUCUGUAAGUUUUCGGUUAAAUCCAUAAGCUCAACUUAUGGGCUGCCGAAAAUACUGCAGAACUAGGGAGUGGGAGAGGUAGACGGUACUCGGUAGGAAGGGGUAAAAUCCUUUGAUCUAUUGAUGACCACCUGUGGCGAAGGCGGUCUACCAGAACACGUUCGACGGUGAGGGAUGAAAGCUGGGGGAGCAAACCGGAUUAGAUACCCGGGUAGUCCCAGCUGUAAACGAUGCAAACUCGAUGAUGCGUUGGCUUGUUGCUAGCGCAGUGUCGCAGGGAAGCCGUUAAGUUUGCCGCCUGGGAAGUACGUACGCAAGUAUGAAACUUAAAGGAAUUGGCGGGGGAGCACCACAAGGGGUGAAGCCUGCGGUUCAAUUGGAGUCAACGCCUGAAACCUUACCCGGAGAGACAGCAGAAUGAAGGUCAAGCUGAAGACUUUACCAGACAAGCUGAGAGGUGGUGCAUGGCCGUCGCCAGCUCGUGCCGUGAGAUGUCCUGUUAAGUCAGGUAACGAGC
rnacentral:rRNA from 1 species